CGGGCCGCGCUCACCGAAGUCCAAGAACUGCUUCAUGGAGAGCGGGGACGGCGAGAAGCGCGCGUAGAAGUCCACUUGGCCCGGAACGCCACGUUCGGGCGCCGGGCCGGAGCCCGAGUGCGAGCACAGUCAUUCUCCAGCUGCGAUGAGGAGUAAGGGAAGACCAGCGGGAGCUGCAAUUCUCAGAGCUCUGGGAAGCCUUGUCUCAUCUUGUCACAGUAACUGUUACUGAUGGACAAUGACAGGUUAAGGAUGGUGCAUCUCAUAGUAGCCCAUGAAGGGAUUGAACCGGCAACCGUGAUGUUAUCAGCACCACGCUCUAAUCAACUGAGCUAAC